GAUGAACGCUAGCGGGAGGCCUAACACAUGCAAGCCGAGCGAGCGGCGUACGGGUGCGGAACACGUGUGCAACCUGCCUUUAUCUGGGAGAUAGCAUUUCGAAAGGAAGAUUAAUAUCCCAUAGAUAGAGAUGGGCACGCGCAAGAUUAGAUAGUUGGUGAGGUAACGGCUCACCAAGUCAGUGAUCUUUAGGGGGCCUGAGAGGGUGAUCCCCCACACUGGUACUGAGACACGGACCAGACUCCUACGGGAGGCAGCAGUGAGGAAUAUUGGACAAUGGGUGCAAGCCUGAUCCAGCCAUCCCGCGUGAAGGACGACGGUUUAUGGAUUGUAAACUUCUUUUAUAUAGGGAUAGGUAUUAUAUGAAUAAGCACCGGCUAACUCCGUGCCAGCCGCCGCGGUAAUAG
rnacentral:rRNA from 1 species